UACGUAGGUGGCAAGCGUUGUCCGGAAUUAUUGGGCGUAAAGCGCGCGCAGGUGGUUUCUUAAGUCUGAUGUGAAAGCCCACGGCUCAACCGUGGAGGGUCAUUGGAAACUGGGGAACUUGAGUGCAGAAGAGGAAAGUGGAAUUCCAAGUGUAGCGGUGAAAUGCGUAGAGAUUUGGAGGAACACCAGUGGCGAAGGCGACUUUCUGGUCUGUAACUGACACUGAGGCGCGAAAAGCGUGGGGAGCGAACAGG
rnacentral:rRNA from 1 species